CGGAGCGUGGCGCAGCCAGGUAGCGCACUCCCUUGGGGUGGGAGAGGUCGGCCGUUCAAAUCGGCUCGCUCCGACCA
rnacentral:tRNA from 1 species